GGUUGUAUAGUGUAGUUGGUUAUCACAUCGGAUUCUGAUGCUCACCCAUCCGUCCUUCCGGGGACCCCGGUUCGAGUCCGGGUACGACCU